ACGGCUAACUACGUGCCAGCAGCCGCGGUAAUACGUAGGUGGCAAGCGUUGUCCGGAGUUUAUUGGGCGUAAAGCGAGCGCAGGCGGUUUUAAGUUCUUGAUGUGAAAGCCUUCGGCUCAACCGAAGAAGUGCAUCGGAAACUGGGAAACUUGAGUGCAGAAGAGGACAGUGGAACUCCAUGUGUAGCGGUGAAAUAGCGUAGAUAUAUGGAAGAACACCAGUGGCGAAGGCGGCUGUCUGGUCUGUAACUGACGCUGAGGCUCGAAAGUAUGGGUAGCAAACAGGAUUAGAUACCCUGGUAG
rnacentral:rRNA from 1 species